rnacentral:rRNA from 1 species
GAGGAAAAGAAAUCAACCGAGAUUCCCCCAGUAGCGGCGAGCGAACGGGGAGCAGCCCAGAGCCUGAAUCAGUGUGUGUGUUAGUGGAAGUGUCUGGAAAGGCGCGCGAUACAGGGUGACAGCCCCGUACACAAAAAUGCACAUACUGUGAGCUCGAUGAGUAGGGCGGGACACGUGGUAUCCUGUCUGAAUAUGGGGGGACCAUCCUCCAAGGCUAAAUACUCCUGACUGACCGAUAGUGAACCAGUACCGUGAGGGAAAGGCGAAAAGAACCCCGGCGAGGGGAGUGAAAAAGAACCUGAAACCGUGUACGUACAAGCAGUGGGAGCACGCUUCGGCGUGUGACUGCGUACCUUUUGUAUAAUGGGUCAGCGACUUAUAUUCUGUAGCAAGGUUAACCGAAUAGGGGAGCCGAAGGGAAACCGAGUCUUAACUGGGCGUUAAGUUGCAGGGUAUAGACCCGAAACCCGGUGAUCUAGCCAUGGGCAGGUUGAAGGUUGGGUAACACUAACUGGAGGACCGAACCGACUAAUGUUGAAAAAUUAGCGGAUGACUUGUGGCUGGGGGUGAAAGGCCAAUCAAACCGGGAGAUAGCUGGUUCUCCCCGAAAGCUAUUUAGGUAGCGCCUCGUGAAUUCAUCUCCGGGGGUAGAGCACUGUUUCGGCAAGGGGGUCAUCCCGACUUACCAACCCGAUGCAAACUGCGAAUACCGGAGAAUGUUAUCACGGGAGACACACGGCGGGUGCUAACGUCCGUCGUGAAGAGGGAAACAACCCAGACCGCCAGCUAAGGUCCCAAAGUCAUGGUUAAGUGGGAAACGAUGUGGGAAGGCCCAGACAGCCAGGAUGUUGGCUUAGAAGCAGCCAUCAUUUAAAGAAAGCGUAAUAGCUCACUGGUCGAGUCGGCCUGCGCGGAAGAUGUAACGGGGCUAAACCAUGCACCGAAGCUGCGGCAGCGACACUAUGUGUUGUUGGGUAGGGGAGCGUUCUGUAAGCCUGUGAAGGUGUACUGUGAGGUAUGCUGGAGGUAUCAGAAGUGCGAAUGCUGACAUAAGUAACGAUAAAGCGGGUGAAAAGCCCGCUCGCCGGAAGACCAAGGGUUCCUGUCCAACGUUAAUCGGGGCAGGGUGAGUCGACCCCUAAGGCGAGGCCGAAAGGCGUAGUCGAUGGGAAACAGGUUAAUAUUCCUGUACUUGGUGUUACUGCGAAGGGGGGACGGAGAAGGCUAUGUUGGCCGGGCGACGGUUGUCCCGGUUUAAGCGUGUAGGCUGGUUUUCCAGGCAAAUCCGGAAAAUCAAGGCUGAGGCGUGAUGACGAGGCACUACGGUGCUGAAGCAACAAAUGCCCUGCUUCCAGGAAAAGCCUCUAAGCAUCAGGUAACAUCAAAUCGUACCCCAAACCGACACAGGUGGUCAGGUAGAGAAUACCAAGGCGCUUGAGAGAACUCGGGUGAAGGAACUAGGCAAAAUGGUGCCGUAACUUCGGGAGAAGGCACGCUGAUAUGUAGGUGAAGCGACUUGCUCGUGGAGCUGAAAUCAGUCGAAGAUACCAGCUGGCUGCAACUGUUUAUUAAAAACACAGCACUGUGCAAACACGAAAGUGGACGUAUACGGUGUGACGCCUGCCCGGUGCCGGAAGGUUAAUUGAUGGGGUUAGCGGUAACGCGAAGCUCUUGAUCGAAGCCCCGGUAAACGGCGGCCGUAACUAUAACGGUCCUAAGGUAGCGAAAUUCCUUGUCGGGUAAGUUCCGACCUGCACGAAUGGCGUAAUGAUGGCCAGGCUGUCUCCACCCGAGACUCAGUGAAAUUGAACUCGCUGUGAAGAUGCAGUGUACCCGCGGCAAGACGGAAAGACCCCGUGAACCUUUACUAUAGCUUGACACUGAACAUUGAGCCUUGAUGUGUAGGAUAGGUGGGAGGCUUUGAAGUGUGG